AUUGAACGCUGGCGGAAUGCUUUACACAUGCAAGUCGAACGGCAGCACGGACUUCGGUCUGGUGGCGAGUGGCGAACGGGUGAGUAAAGUAUCGGAACGUGCCCAGUCGUGGGGAUAACGUAGUGAAAAUUACGCUAAUACCGCAUACGAUCUAUGGAUGAAAGCGGGGGAUCGCAAGACCUCGCGCGAUUGGAGCGGCCGAUAUCAGAUUAGGUAGUUGGUGGGGUAAAGGCCCACCAAGCCAACGAUCUGUAGCUGGUCUGAGAGGACGACCAGCCACACUGGAACUGAGACACGGUCCAGACUCCUACGGGAGGCAGCAGUGGGGAAUUUUGGACAAUGGGCGAAAGCCUGAUCCAGCCAUUCCGCGUGCAGGAUGAAGGCCCUCGGGUUGUAAACUGCUUUUGUACAGAACGAAAAGGUUUCUACUAAUACUAGGAGCUCAUGACGGUACUGUAAGAAUAAGCACCGGCUAACUACGUGCCAGCCGCCGCGGUAA
rnacentral:rRNA from 1 species